rnacentral:rRNA from 1 species
GACGAACGCUGGCGGCGUGCCUAAUACAUGCAAGUCGAGCGAGCUUGCCUAGAUGAAUUUGGUGCUUGCACCAAAUGAAACUAGAUACAAGCGAGCGGCGGACGGGUGAGUAACACGUGGGUAACCUGCCCAAGAGACUGGGAUAACACCUGGAAACAGAUGCUAAUACCGGAUAACAACACUAGACGCAUGUCUAGAGUUUAAAAGAUGGUUCUGCUAUCACUCUUGGAUGGACCUGCGGUGCAUUAGCUAGUUGGUAAGGUAACGGCUUACCAAGGCAAUGAUGCAUAGCCGAGUUGAGAGACUGAUCGGCCACAUUGGGACUGAGACACGGCCCAAACUCCUACGGGAGGCAGCAGUAGGGAAUCUUCCACAAUGGACGCAAGUCUGAUGGAGCAACGCCGCGUGAGUGAAGAAGGGUUUCGGCUCGUAAAGCUCUGUUGGUAGUGAAGAAAGAUAGAGGUAGUAACUGGCCUUUAUUUGACGGUAAUUACUUAGAAAGUCACGGCUAACUACGUGCCAGCAGCCGCGGUAAUACGUAGGUGGCAAGCGUUGUCCGGAUUUAUUGGGCGUAAAGCGAGUGCAGGCGGUUCAAUAAGUCUGAUGUGAAAGCCUCCGGCUCAACCGGAGAAUUGCAUCAGAAACUGUUGAACUUGAGUGCAGAAGAGGAGAGUGGAACUCCAUGUGUAGCGGUGGAAUGCGUAGAUAUAUGGAAGAACACCAGUGGCGAAGGCGGCUCCCUGGUCUGCAACUGACGCUGAGGCUCGAAAGCAUGGGUAGCGAACAGG